UGCUCCUUUUCUUUGUCCCUGUUCGUUUUGCACACAAAAAGUUUCUCUAAAAAUGAAUCUGUUCCAACUAGGCUGACCUACAGUUAUACAACAGGAAUGGCAGCGAUAGGGGUAUGCAGUUUAAGUUAUCCAGCCAAGAAAUUUCAAAAUACAAGAAAAAAGAUGCAUGCCCUCAACUGAAAUUUUGCUCAGUCAUCUUUACACAACAUACACAGCACAGCGCUGUGUAUGUCGUCUCUCGCAGUCCUUGUCCUUCGCGCUGUACGUUAUUUUUUAUCAUGAAUUACCAACUAGCCCAAGCAACCACCCUAGUUCACUUCUUUCCCCAUUUGCUGACCAGGCUGGUCAAGCAACCUGGAACUGCAGAACGACUUUUUCUUCCGUUCAGUUUUAGUUCAGCGCAGCACCACACACAACAAAAAAAUCACUGCCCCUUCCAGUCCAUGAAGAUGGUCAAACAGCAAAGCUGUGUUAGUUAUGCAGAGUGUUGCAUCAUGCAAGUCAAACUUCACAAGCAGUCUAUAUUGUAAAUCUUUUGUUUCACCAUUCUUUCACCUCAUUUUCGCUUUGUAUGCUUUACGUGGUGAGCCUGCUUUAGGAGUGCUUUAUUUUUUUUUUCAGUGGUUCUCCCAAUUUCUUUUUUUUUCUUUUUGCGUGUGAGGUUUCUAUUUGUGUUUUGCCGUACUUUUUUUUUCGCAUGCAAGUUGCUCCACCCCUUUUUUGCGUGCCAGUAAUGACUAUAAGCCAUACAGUACCAUGUGUGAAACCACUAAUCCAAAGCUUCAUAUAUUCAAAUUCAAAUUCAAGUUUAUUUACCAAGGCGCAAGGCCCACCACUGGAGAUGCGGGCGCUGCAAUCAUUUUGACGACUGGUUGGAUUGGUUUGACAAUUGAUGCGCCUGCCGGCACUUCUUGCUGGGACUAGAAGUGCCGGCAGCCAUGCGCUCCUAGUAUCGUGUUUCAACCUCUGGGCACUGUUCGUUGGCUGCAAACCGCCAGCAUAACAUUUGUUUCUUUUGCGGCAGGGUGGAAUCAAUCGCCGAAAAAUUCUAUGUCGGUCUGGCUCGAUCGUCAAAAAUGCAUUGUAUGACAACUGUAUAAGAUUCGCGUAUAAAAUAGCAUUCUCAGAGGGAGAAAGGGGUCCCUCCAACCCCUUUCCCCAUGUGGAGUUCUUUUCCUCUCCCGCUAGGUCACGUGGCCCCUUUUUAGCAACGUCCAACAACGACGGUCCAGGGUCAAACGACAGCCCGGGAGCAAAGUAGACAUGUGUGACGUUUCAACGCGACCAUCACCACAGGAGAGUGGCAGGAAGGGAAACUGGAUACACAAGCACUUGGAACGCCGACAAACAGAAGGCGGUGCGAACGUGGACAUGGCCGACGCAGCUUGCACAGUGGCAAAUCUUUGAGAACUAUCUACCUGAGAAUGGGACCGCUGGCCUGAGGAGCCGGCGGAAACUAGACAAGCAUGACAUUUCGACGGGACCGCCACCACGGGAGAGUGGAGAGUAGAUGUGCAAGUAUUUUGCUGCUGUAAUAUGUCAUUGCUUACAGUAUUGCUCGUGCAGGAACAAAUACUAGAAAUUAGCCGAGUGAUGGAGGAAAAGGUAAUAAUGGGGAGGAACGAAAGAAAUUGUGUACUAUUUGUCUUAUGCCUUGUUGAAGGCAAUUAUACAGUGGUCACCAUAAAAGCAUCGAUGCUUUCACGGACUAAAGGUUACAUGUUUGUGGCACAUAAAAGAAACUUAAUUUUGCUAUUGUACUUUUUUCCCUAUUGUUUCCUCUGUUCUUAGAGCACAAAAUUAUGUCAUUCAGGCCCAGUCCCGCUCGAAAGCAUCAUUGCUUUGGUGGGCUAAUGAAAUAUUUGAUUUGUAUAUCUUAUGUUCUAAAAAAAAGAUAGAAGUGCUUGGAACGCCGACAAAGAGAGGGCAGUGUGACCAUAGACAUGGCUGAUGCAGGUCGAAGCAUAGUAUCUGUUCUUAGCUUAAUAUCUGAUACGGGUUCUAUUUGGAUGCAAGACAUUAAACUUAUUUUCGCAAAUUGGCAGAGUGCUUGAAGCCUGCUUCACCUCCGCCGGGGUUCGGCCUGGUGCUGCACUAUCUUUGGGAUUGGCCCACGGUUUUCGCUAGUGCAGAACAAAAAUGCACGGAACCCUAGCCAUAAACAGCUUUGCUGUAAAAAGGGAACUUUGGCAUGUGUGCAAUCGAUGAUGGCAUUACAGUGCGACAUAACAUCCCAACCUAGGAUGAUUUCGAGCAAGCAGGUGGAUAGUGCAACAAACUCAAUCCUGAACUCAAUCCCCCCAUGAUAACGGGAGCCAUGCAGGCUGCUAGAGGUCAAAAGACUUGUGCGCUUGCUGUUCGGAGCAACUAUCCAUCCACUGAAGUUGUGACCUCUCUUAAAAAGUGACAAAGUUUUUCGUGCAUUACUGAAACUGCAGUUCCAGUGUCUACAUGUCAAUGUAGAAAUAUCUUCAAUAACAACUUUGACAAUGCUUGUAGGCAACAAGUGAGAACUUCAGAAUUUUUAUGGUGACCCAGCUCUGGCCACAGAAACUGUAGCACUUAGUUUUCCAGUUUGGAAGGUGCAGCACAAGAAUGCAUUGAAGAGAAUGAAUGAUGUGGUAAGGAUGACUAACAGGGGACGGAUGAUGGAGAACUAGGUGUCAGAAGUGCUGUAGAAGGCUGUAGCUCGUCGGCGCAGCGAGUCAUUCUGGAAGUGGCAGCAGGCAAUUCUAAGCAAGGUCAACAUGCCCAGGCAGCCACAAGCAAAGCCUAUAGGCUGAUUGUCUGGUGUGUACCAAAGAUUUGCACCAGUAGCGGUGGUUCAGGGAAAAAAGAAUUAUGCAGAUUCCACGAAGCAAAACUUUCUGAUCUGUGUGCUUUGAUUGGCGAUAAUUAAAGGUGAUAUUGACGAGGAAUGUUUAAUUUCUUCAGCGUGUAGUCCAAUACAAGAGUGGUGAGUUAAUGUUAAACAUUACCUUGCUUGCACCACUGCUGUUUGUCUGCGCCAUUGUUCAUAACCUCUGAGAGGGUUGAGCAUUGUUAUUGCCUCACAUGGCACAUCAAAUUGAAAUGAAAGUUUAUUUUCCAUCUUGUAAGGUACAGAUCUUGUAAGAUACAGAUGGGGGGGUGGAGGAAAAAAGCUGUCCAUUGUGGCAGAAGUCUUAAACUUUAAUUGAAUUAUGGGGCUGCACGAGCCAAAACAACAAUCGAAUUAUGAAGCUCACCGUAGUGAUGGCCUCCGGAUAAAUUUUGACACCCUGGUGUUCUUUAACGUGCACCUAAAUCUAAGAGUUAUUGCAUUUCCCUCCCGUCGAAAUGUAGCUGCCGUGGUUGGGACUGAAUCCGCAACCUUGAGCAAUGCCAUAGUCGCCAAGCUACUGCGGUGGGUACAGAAGUGUUGAUUUGGCAUGCGACCACUUCCGUAGUGUCACCUAGAUCCUAUGAUGCUUUAAUGUGGCUUUGUAGUUGCAUGCCCUGCAUCAGUUGUCCCCCUAACAAAUUUGCAUGGUGUUUAUUUUUCAGAAAUAGCAGAAAUGUACCAUACCGCACUUUCUGUUUGACCGCUACCACUGUUGUGUCUAUAGUAGUAGCAUUUGCUUGCCUUCUUACGCCAUCUUUUCCCUCUCCCGCUACCAAUGACAAAAAGGCAGUAAGGAUGGCCAUAUUACUUCCUCCCGAACAAUUGCUUUGACCUCAGCAAAAACCGACUUGGAGUGACAGUCAGUUGGGAAAAUGACCCAUCAUACAGAAAAGUGCAGCCAGCAAAAUGUGUCGCUUUCACAGCUCAUCAUAGCUUUGGCACAGCUGUAUAGCUUCCGAAACAGUUCCUGGGCCCUUGAAAAGAAGCAUGUGCGAAACACUGUCAAUGCCCUUAAUCAUUUGUUGGACUUUAUCAGGCUUUUGCGUCGACACAAUGCCAUAUUUGCCCUCUAUGACAAUAUAGCUUGUCAGUGUCCCAUCCGGCUAUUGAUCCCGUUAACUCAAAUGUUGUUCAACAUAUACUUUGCAAACAGCUGGACGAUCAAACACAUCAGCAAAGAUGGCCUUGAAGGGGAAGUUUCCCUUGUGAUGGUUAAAUUGCAGGCUCGCAAGGUCCUCCAGGUUUGUUUUGUUUAACUUUAUGGCAUCGUUCCACUGGUUGCAGCACUCUCCCUCCCUUAUGAUGAUAGUCUGCUUUUGAAGUCACUGCCUGUAAUGCUAAAUCUGGCUGGAUUUCUUCGUGAAGGGCACCAGAGAUGACGGGCUGUGUCAAGAACAUCUGCUGAACGACAUUGGGCAUGGUAGUCACAGUGCCAGGACGGAGUUCCAGGAUGGUACCUGCGCGGUGCAAGAAACAACAGAAAUCAUGCCGUUCAAGCUGGUUUACAGCAGGAACCUGACGACGACUCUCAAUGCCAUGUUGCCGCAAGUCACUGACGAAAAGCAUCUUGACGCCGCCACCAAUUUCCAGUGCACCGAAGAAGCCCAACAGCUCGCCCACCUGCGGAUCAAGAACCAGCAGAGGACCGACAGCCGAUACUACAACCUUCGACGACGCUACGUUUAGUACCAGCCCGGUGACUGUGUUUCGGUUCUGACCCCAAUAUGCCUACGAGGACUUAGCGAGAAGCUUUUACGCCACUAUUUCAGAUCCUACAAGGACCGACGCAUUGGUGCAGUCGACUACGAGGUCGUGCCCGACGGCAUUUGACUAUCACAGUGGUCACAGUGGCGCCACUCAGAACCUCAAAUAGUCCAUGCUGUGCAACUUAAGCCAUUCUACCAGCACUAAUGAACUCUGAGAAUUUGCAUAGCUGAACUUUAAACGUUUCUUUUGGACUGUGUUAGCCUUGGACUUUGUUUCUUUGUUGUGUCCUUUUGUGUUUCACUCACCUGUUAUGUUUGUAGCAUCGGGACGAUGCUUUUUAAGAAGGGGGCACUGACACAUAAGAGCUGCAAAAUGGCCUUGGCAUGCCUGUAUCACAGGACGUCGCUGGUGGUACAGCAGCAGUCUAUUGAGCACGCCGACAAAAGCGAGCGAUGUGACUGGUGUAGCCACAGGCAAAGCAUAUUGACACGUAAACUUGUUUAUCUUUUACGGGUGAGUGCUUUUUACCAUCUAAUAAAUGUUAUCGCUCAGCACAGGACGCACCCGCAUUGACCAGAGGUUUCUCGAAUGUUAACGAUUGUUUUGUUGUUACCGAAACUUCUGGAAUCUGAUAGCAUGUGUGACGCAAAUUGUGCAGAAUUUUCCCGAAAACAUGCAGGCACCACCAAUUACUCUGGCACCUUCGAUGACUCUUGUAUUAAAGCCAACACCCUAGAACAGCAGGUCAGAUUUUCGAUGAUCGCCAACUGUGUUCGCUGUUAUUGUAGUGCUUAAGUGUAGCCUGUUUUGAGUCCAUUAGUUCACCCAAUAAAACACUAGUUUCACAAUGACA